GUAACACUUACAUUGUAGAGUACGUGUACUGAGUUGAUUGUCAUUUGUCAACUGUUGGUGUGUUAGGUAACUCGGGAUGUUGGGAAAAUGUGUUAUUUGUAUUGUUAUGUGUGUUGUCGUGUGUUAUGUGGAGGCGAAAGAAGCGUACUCCCCUGGUGAGAGGGAAUGUAUGAAAUACGGCGGGCUGUGUGUAUUAGAGGGAACCUGCCGUGAAGGCAACUUGGCGCGCACGCAGGGACUUUGUCAAACUGAGCCUAAACGCAUGGAAUGCUGUCACGGACUUCCGAAGACAGCUACGGGUUGUCACGCACAAGGUGGAGAAUGUUUUCCUGGAUCCUACAGAUGCCAGAGACAAAUCAGCGCCGAUGACUGUAUUGAAAGCGAAACAUGCUGCCUAUUAACGCAUUAAAAAAAUAUCUA
rnacentral:lncRNA from 1 species